rnacentral:rRNA from 1 species
UGGGGAAUAUUGCGCAAUGGAGGAAACUCUGACGCAGCAAUGCCGCGUGAGUGAAGAAGGGAUUCGUUCCGUAAAGCUCUGCCGUUGGGGAAGAGAGAAGACGGUACCCAACAAGCAAGCCCCGGCUAACUACGUGCCAGCAGCCGCGGUAACACGUAGGGGGCGAGCGUUGUCCGGAAUUACUGGGCGUAAAGGGCACGCAGGCGGCUGUGCAGGCAGGAUGUGAAAAGUCAGGGCCCAACCCUGAAGGUGCAUCCUGAACCACGCAGCUAGAGUGCUGGAGAGGCAGGCAGAAUUCCUGGUGUAGCGGUGAAAUGCGCAGAUAUCAGGAGGAAUACCGGAGGCGAAGGCGGCCUGCCGGACAGACACUGACGCUCAGGUGCGAAAGCGUGGGGAGCAA